CCUACGGGAUGCAGCAGUGAGGAAUAUUGGUCAAUGGACGAGAGUCUGAACCAGCCAAGUAGCGUGAAGGAUGACUGCCCUAUGGGUUGUAAACUUCUUUUAUAUGGGAAUAAAAUGUUCCACGUGUGGGAUUUUGUAUGUACCAUAUGAAUAAGGAUCGGCUAACUCCGUGCCAGCAGCCGCGGUAAUACGGAGGAUCCGAGCGUUAUCCGGGUUUAUUGGGUUUAAAGGGAGCGUAGGUGGAUUGUUAAGUCAGUUGUGAAAGUUUGCGGCUCAACCGUAAAAUUGCAGUUGAAACUGGCAGUCUUGAGUACAGUAGGGGUGGGCGGAAUUCGUGGUGUAGCGGUGAAAUGCUUAGAUAUCACGAAGAACUCCGAUUGCGAAGGCAGUUCACUGGACUGCAACUGACACUGAGGCUCGAAAGUGUGGGUAUCAAACAGGAUUAGAUACCCCUGUAGUC
rnacentral:rRNA from 1 species